UUGGAGGGCAAGUCUGGUGCCAGCAGCCGCGGUAAUUCCAGCUCCAAUAGCGUAUAUUAAAGUUGUUGCAGUUAAAAAGCUCGUAGUUGAAUUUCGGAGUUUGUCGGUUGGUCGGGCUUCACUGUCCGCACUGGCCUGAUGGAUUCCUACCUUCUGAAUAACCGGCAUGCUAUUAAGUUAGUGCGUUGGGGAAGCAGAGCUAUUACCUUGAAAAAAUUAGAGUGCUUAAAGCAGGCUUUUGCUUGAAUAGAUUAGCAUGGAAUAAUAAAAUAGGACGGCAUGGUUCUAUUUUGUUGGUUUCUAGGAUCACCGUAAUGAUUAAUAGGGAUAGUUGGGGGCAUUAGUAUUCAAUUGUCAGAGGUGAAAUUCUUGGAUUUAUUGAAGACUAACUUCUGCGAAAGCAUUUGCCAAGGAUGUUUUCAUUAAUCAAGAACGAAAGUUAGGGGAUCGAAGACGAUCAGAUACCGUCGUAGUCUUAACCAUAAACUAUGCCGACUAGGGAUCGGACGAUGUAAUUUUUUAAUGACUCGUUC
rnacentral:rRNA from 1 species